AUGUGGAGACUGGAAACUGGAAUACUUGAACGUACAGUACAUGUAAUAGUAAACAUACAUUACAAUUUACAAACCUAACUAAAUCAUCGUGAAAUAUAGAGGCCGGAACCAUUUGUGAACUCGCAGCUUUUGGUAUUUCUCCAUCGUCUGUGCUGUCGCUAUAUCACAGCGAAAUAAGAAAAAUUAGGUUAUCAAAAUACUACGCAUCAAAAUCGGCUUAUAAAGAAUUCGCGUAGACAGCAGAAAUGUGACGCGAAAGCUGGAACAUGCUGAAAAGGUCGCCAUCUUGGAUUUGGCGCUUCAGAGGAAACUGGUGACAAAAAUGAUCAUUGUUUUUCACGUUUGACACGCUGACCUCGUUUUGCUAACUUGUUUAUGUUGUGCCUAUUAAUGACGCUCGUUAUGCUAAUGAUUGCCUCGGUGCACGUGUUUGAAGUAUGGCAGAGCACGUUUUGCUCCGCUCACAGAUGCAAUUAUGGAUAAAAAACUUGUGUCCAAGCCAGUUGCAGUACAUGAAGACCACAAACACUGGUAGUGUUGUUG
rnacentral:lncRNA from 1 species